UUAUAUUUUAUUCAGGAAAUGUAUGGAGAUGACACGACAAGAAUACUUAUAGAGAUUUAUUGUAAGGGAAGUGUUUGUGAAUUUGAAAAAGAAGAGAAAGUGAGUUCAUCAAUCCCAAUCGUAAAGGUUGACAAGUUGUCAAUUAAUAAAUACUUAUAGGCUAGGGCCUUGUGGUUGUUAACACGGUAAUCCAAUCAUUAAAUCUUCAUUACGCUUGCAACGAACCUGAAAGUGUUAUCUUCAAAAUUAUAAUCUUUUGGUUACAUUGCUGAGCAGUUUGGGUGGCAAAGAUCUCCAGCAGUCCAUCCACCAUAUGCUGCGCAGGGUGUUUGUUGACCAGCUUGCCACAAAAUUUUCCUAUUCUGGAAAAGUCAUGGGGGGCAGAGCAAGGCAGAAUUCAAGAGGACUAAGCUCAACAAAUGCAUACUUGUUGCUGCACAGAAAAUUUUCAGCAUGAGGGAAGCCACAGAAGCCAAAGUUUCAAGCGUUGUUGCUAAGUGGCUUCAACAAGCCAAAACCAGAUGUGAAAGAAGAGGGAAAAAACCUGUCACUGUGGACAUUGGGGAAGAAGUUCCACUCAUUGGGGAUGAAGAUCUGUACGGAAAACAUAUAUAUUACCACUUAAUUCAAUUAAAAAUAACUUAUAUGUUAUAAGUUGUUAUAACAUUAUACGUUAUAUGUUGUUGAAAGUUAAGAGACGUGGCAUUUUCAAAUGUAAAUGUGUUAUGUAAAUCUUCAAUAUAAAUCU